UUGCCCAAUGAUUAUAGCAAGACGCGUUAUUAUGAGGACUAAUGCUGGAACUCCUUCUCCUCUUUUGUCCCUUUCUCUUUCACCUUACCCCUUUCAUUUUCCCUAGGGUAUCCAGCGUCCUAUGAGCAAGACUGAGAUAUGAGGGCAA